ACAAGAGGGAAGAAGAAACAGAAUAAGCAAAUAAGCAAUGCUAAAAGAAUAAGAGGUCCAGAGCGUGCCACGACGACACGCUGUGGUUCACCGGUGUUAAAGAUACCCUGUGGACUUUUCUGAUACAUUCAGCGUCUCUCACCAAAACACACUGUGUGUAUCCUUGAGGCUGAACAAAUAUGUGGAAUACAUCUCCUUCCUCAUCAUCCUCUUCAUGUGACCAGCGCUGUUCCUGCGGGCUUGAUUUACUGGGAGGACGUACAGGUCAGCAGUGGUGGGGAGGCCCGACUUCACCACUGUAACCAAGGACUCCUGAGGGACACCUGUGAUCUGAUGUCAGAUGGUUAAAGGGCGGUGUGUCUGUGUGAGCUCCACUCACACACAGUGCGGACAGGACGAAGCUGCUCCUUCCCGCAGGGUUGGCUGGAGGUGUGGGCGAUUUAAUUUGUGCUUUACAACGUAAGCGCCAUGAAACAAUCAGAAAAUAACGUUUCAUUUAGCAAAUUCACUGCUUUGUUCUCACCGCUCCCUCUCUUCAUUCAUUCUUUAGCUCUCUCUCGCCCUCUCUCGCCGUUGAGACGGAGAGGAGGGGGCAACGGAAAAAUCUGUAACUGAUAUUUUACACUAACAAUGUUUCAGAUGACUAUGAAAACAAAGAACCUACAGAGAAUCAUCAGCUGAAUCCUGGCGGCUUUACGGAGCUUUAUAGUGAGUUUCAGCUCAUUGUUCAGCUGCAGCAGCAGACACAGUCAGAGAGCAGCUGCUGAACACAGCGGAGCAGCUGAAGAUAUUUUUUUUCUCAGGAGUCGGUGGAGACCAAAGCAGAGCUGAAAGAGAGUGAGUAUUGAGACAAACUCGACUCCAUAGGAAUGAUCAUGUUGCUCUUUAUGUGCUGUCAUUUUUAAAUAGUAAUUAUUUUGUUAACGUGUUAACAACUUUAUAAGGUGAUAAUAUGUAAAUCUUUUGUUUCAGCUUGUUUUGCUGCCCCAA